rnacentral:rRNA from 1 species
AUACGGAGGAUGCAAGCGUUAUCCGGAUUUAUUGGGUUUAAAGGGUGCGUAGGCGGUUUGCUAAGCGGGAGGUGAAAUGCCGGCGCUCAACGUCGGAAGUGCCUCCCGAACUGGUGGACUGGAAUGACUCUGCCGUGGGAGGAAUGUGUAGUGUAGCGGUGAAAUGCUUAGAGAUUACACAGAACACCGAUUGCGAAGGCUGCUCACGAAGGGUGGAUUGGCGCUGAGGCACGAAAGGGUGGGGAGCAAACAGAGUUAGAUACCCUGGUAGUCCACGCCGUAAACGAUGAUGGCUAACCGCUGGUUUAUUCGGAUCAGUGGCCAAGCGAAAGCGAUAAGCCAUCCACCUGGGGAGUACGACCGCAAGGUUGAAACUCAAAGGAAUUGACGGGG